rnacentral:rRNA from 1 species
GACGUAGGGCGCGAGCGUUGUCCGGAUUUAUUGGGCGUAAAGAGCUCGUAGGCGGUGUGUCGCGUCGGCCGUGAAAACCUGCAGCUUAACUGUGGGCUUGCGGUCGAUACGGGCAUCACUGGAGUUCGGCAGGGGAGACUGGAAUUCCAGGUGUAGCGGUGAAAUGCGUAGAUAUCUGGAGGAAUACCGGUGGCGAAGGCGGCAUCCUGGACCAUUACUGACGCUGAGGAACGAAAGCUAGGGUAGCGAACGGGG